GACGAACGCUGGCGGCGUGCUUAACACAUGCAAGUCGAACGGUAAGGCCCUUCGAGGUACACGAGUGGCGAACGGGUGAGUAACACGUGGGUGAUCUGCCCUGCACUUCGGGAUAAGCCUGGGAAACUGGGUCUAAUACCGGAUAGGACCACUGCCUGCAUGGGUGGUGGUGGAAAGCUUUUGCGGUGUGGGAUGGGCCCGCGGCCUAUCAGCUUGUUGGUGGGGUGAUGGCCUACCAAGGCGACGACGGGUAGCCGGCCUGAGAGGGUGACCGGCCACACUGGGACUGAGAUACGGCCCAGACUCCUACGGGAGGCAGCAGUGGGGAAUAUUGCACAAUGGGCGCAAGCCUGAUGCAGCAACGCCGCGUGAGGGAUGACGGCCUUCGGGCUGUAAACCUCUUUUAGUAGGGAAGAAGCGAAAGUGACGGUACCUGCAGAAAAAGCACCGGCUAACUACGUGCCAGCAGCCGCCGUAA
rnacentral:rRNA from 1 species